GGCCACACCAGGUGGUGGGCUUUGGGGCUGUCAGCUUCGUUCUGCUUUACUCUCCUUUCUCUUCUUAGGCACAUCCUGGGGAUCUUACGUCCAGACAGACCUAUAAGGCUGGGUUCUCAGAAGAUUACACGGCACUGAUCUCCCAGAAUGUUCUGGAAGGAGAGAAGCUGCUCAAAGGUAAGCAAUCCGCUGCUUUGCUGGGCCACGUAUCCCUGUCCAUGUGAGUUUCGCCCGCGAGAACAUGAUCUCUACACCGCAGCUUCUCUGCGGACACUAUGGGACGAUCCGGUGUAAAGGAGGACAGUCUUGCGACAAGACACUAACUGCUCAGGCUCAACUCAGCGGGGGAUGUUCCAAACUUUAUGCAAAGGGCAGCUCCACAGCAAGGAGCCACCUGGCCCCAAACGUCAGCGAUGCCUGUGGCUCCCAGUAUCACCGUUUGGACUCCAAUCAGCAGGAACAUGACGCAAAGCCGAGGGAGUGA
rnacentral:lncRNA from 1 species